CCUACGGGGGACAGCAGUGAGGAAUAUUGGUCAAUGGUCGGGAGGCUGAACCAGCCAAGUCGCGUGAGGGAAGACGGUCCUACGGGUUGUAAACCUCUUUUGUCAGGGAGCAAGGUGUAGGUCGCGUCCUGCUGUGAGUGUACCUGAAGAAAAAGCAUCGGCUAACUCCGUGCCAGCAGCCGCGGUAAUACGGAGGAUGCGAGCGUUAUCCGGAUUUAUUGGGUUUAAAGGGUGCGCAGGCGGAGGCACAAGUCAGCGGUAAAAUCGCGGGGCUCAACCCCGCCCCGCCGUUGAAACUGGGACCCUUGAGUGCGCGAAGGGUAUGCGGAAUGCGUGGUGUAGCGGUGAAAUGCAUAGAUAUCGCGCAGAACUCCGAUCGCGAAGGCAGCCUACCGGCGCGCAACUGACGCUCAUGCACGAAAGCGUGGGUAUCGAACAGGAUUAGAUACCCCUGUAGUC
rnacentral:rRNA from 1 species